UGGGGAAUAUUGGACAAUGGGCGCAAGCCUGAUCCAGCCAUGCCGCGUGUGUGAAGAAGGCCUUCUGGUUGUAAAGCACUUUAAGCGAGGAGGAGGCUACUUGGAUUAAUACUCUAGGAUAGUGGACGUUACUCGCAGAAUAAGCACCGGCUAACUCUGUGCCAGCAGCCGCGGUAAUACAGAGGGUGCGAGCGUUAAUCGGAUUUACUGGGCGUAAAGCGUGCGUAGGCGGCUUCUUAAGUCGGAUGUGAAAUCCCUGAGCUUAACUUAGGAAUUGCAUUCGAUACUGGGAAGCUAGAGUAUGGGAGAGGAUGGUAGAAUUCCAGGUGUAGCGGUGAAAUGCGUAGAGAUCUGGAGGAAUACCGAUGGAGAAGGCAGCCAUCUGGACUAAUACUGACGCUGAGGUAAGAAAGCAUGGGGAGCAAACAGG
rnacentral:rRNA from 1 species